GGCGAGGUGGCAGUGUGGUUAAAGCGAUGGACUGCUAAUCCAUUGUGCUCUGCACGCGUGGGUUCGAAUCCCAUCCUCGUCG
rnacentral:tRNA from 1 species